rnacentral:rRNA from 1 species
GACGAACGCUGGCGGCGUGCUUAACACAUGCAAGUCGAACGGAAAGGCCCUGCUUUUGUGGGGUGCUCGAGUGGCGAACGGGUGAGUAACACGUGAGUAACCUGCCCUUGACUUUGGGAUAACUUCAGGAAACUGGGGCUAAUACCGGAUAGGAGCUCCUGCUGCAUGGUGGGGGUUGGAAAGUUUCGGCGGUUGGGGAUGGACUCGCGGCUUAUCAGCUUGUUGGUGGGGUAGUGGCUUACCAAGGCUUUGACGGGUAGCCGGCCUGAGAGGGUGACCGGCCAAAUUGGGACUGAGAUACGGCACAGACUCCUACGGGACGCAGCAGUGGGGAAUAUUGCACAAUGGGCGGAAGCCUGAUGCAGCAACGCCGCGUGGGGGAUGACGGCCUUCGGGUUGUAAACCGCUUUCGCCUGUGACGAAGCGUGAGUGACGGUAAUGGGUAAAGAAGCCCCGGCUAACUACGUG